CCGCCUUUGUAUCCCCUCACUCCCCAAAACGCUCUUAACCCCUUCUGAACCCUAACCCUUCUCCGGCUCCGUUUCACUGGAGACUAUGAUUUUUCAAGCUCUAAGGCACCUGUAUUCACCUCUCCCUACCGUAUAUGGCCCUUUUGUUCGAAGAUUGAAGCCCUAUCUUGGAUAUUAUCGACUCGUAGGUCCUUCAACUUGAGUUUUACGGCCAUGACCGGUCUCUCUCUGGAAAGCCUUGAUGUUGUGAGUCCAUUGAUGACUCAGAAUCAGUCCAUUCCGGGGUUUCUCGUGUCUCUGUGGUUCUCUCUCUGAAACCCUAAUUUUCAAGUUUUUCUCUGUGUUUAUCUUUACGAUCUUCUCUAGAUCCUAGCUAUUUUCUAAAGUUUCAAAGUAUUUCUUACAUUUCUUCGUCGACUUUUUUUUCAAACUGUUCGUCUUCCUAAAAUUUAGGGUUUCUUCAAUUUCUUUGCUUUAUCUGCUCUAUUGUGAUUUCUUUUAGGCUUAACUGUGAUUUCUGAGUAUUUUCUACUAUGGCUCCUAUGUAUUUUCUUUACUGUGCUAUUUCUAGGGUUUCCGUGUAAUUUUACUAGGUUCUCUAUUUUUCUUUAUGUUGUUCUUACUAAAUUUAUCUUCAUAUGUGCUCGAUAUGUGAUGAAAACCCUAGGUUUUAGCAGAUUUGCGUUUCUC
rnacentral:lncRNA from 1 species